rnacentral:ribozyme from 1 species
AAGAGAAGAGAAAGUGGAAGAAAAAAAGGUUUUUUUUUUUUUUCGAGAGUGGAAGAGAAGAGGAAGUGUUUCUGUGUUUUUCUUUUUUUGUUUUUUUACUGUUU